rnacentral:rRNA from 1 species
GUAUCCUAACCGUGCGAAGGUAGCGUAAUCACUUGUCCUUUAAAUGAGGACUGGUAUGAACGGCUUCACGAAGGCUGCACUGUCUCCUUUUUCUAAUCAGUCAAACUAAUCUCCCCGUGAAGAAGCGGGGAUCAACCUAUAAGACGAGAAGACCCUAUGGAGCUUUAAACAAUUGAUUACACUUGCAUUUAAAUCUUUCCCUAUAUUUAACCAAGCACUUUGUUUCUAGUUUUAGGUUGGGGUGACCAUGGAGAAAAAUUUAUCCUCCAUGUUGAAAGAAAUUCCAUUUCUUAGCAAAAAGCUACAUCUUUAUGCAUCAACAAAUUGACCUUAAUUGACCCAAUAAUUUGAUCAACGAACCAAGUUACCCUAGGGAUAACAGCGCAAUCCACUUCAAGAGCUCUUAUCGACAAGUGGGUUUACGACCUCGAUGUUGGAUCAGGGUGUCCAAGUGGUGCAGUCGCUA